AUGCCUUUCCCCAAGCCGUGGACUGAUCCAGCGCAUGUGGGCGAUUUCUUUAACUUUCUCCCCUUCGGUCUUUCAUCUUUGGGUUGCACAAUGGAAGGGAGAGAGCGGGGCGAAAUAUCUCGCACCCAGGUCGGGCGAGCAGCGGACUGUAAUUCUCUUGCAUGCAACAAGACCGAGGAAAAGAAAGAGAGGGGGGGUGGGGGGGGAAAGCUCCCAAUGCCCAAUCAAUGGCAAGACGAAGUGAUUUCCUUGCCUCUCGGAUUCCUCUCGGCAGCGUGGAAAACGAGCCCCUGGAAAGCAACUUCAACUCAUCCAGGCUCCCGUGCAGAACACUCCGGUUCCAACAAGUCAGCCGAUCCCCGGGUUCAGCCGGCUAGUGCAUCUUGCAGCUGGGGCGCCGUAACCUCACAAAUCCCUGCAUCUCUCUUUAUUCCCUUCUGCAGCAGCUCCAAGACUCCGGCGGUGUUUACUCCUGCGCUCGCGGCGCUUCCCAGGCCCCCGCGCGAUCGCUGCCGACCGCCGCGUUCGGUCGCCGAAUGUUACCCGGUUCUGAAUGUUACACUUACACAUUCCAUUCCCGACACUACAGCGCUGACCUCAUCCAUCCACGCAGCCCGCGCUGCCAUUGGCCGAGCGUCACGUCCGGGGUGGGCGGUGCUUCCGCUGCGCCCAUUCAUAACCCCCGGCCACCGGCAGAGGCGCCGGCGCGGCGCUGGGGGUGCGGGCGGCGAAGGGACCCCGGGGCGCCUCGGCCGGGCCCCAGCGGGCGGAGCGCGGGGCUGCCCCGAGAGAGUCCGCGGCCCUUCGGUGCCCCGGGAUCCAGACCCCGGCCUGGGCCGCACCACCUGCAGCCGCCGCGCCGGGAAACCAGCGCCUCCCAGAGGCGCCUGCGGGCGCGCGGAGGCUGGAGAACCGGGGACUGGCGGGCGCUUCCCCGGCCCGCUGCUCCGGCUGCCCCGGUCGUCCUCGAGAAUUCCUACUCCUCCGCUGCCUGCCGGGAGCGCCUCCCCGAGCGGGCGGCGGCGUGUGUUCGGGUUCCUGGAGAAGGAUGCUCGAAAAGUGGAGCAGUGGGGCGAGCCCUUGGGCUGCAGGAGGAAAAAAAAAAAAAGGACUUCAUAGAAAGCGACCGCUGACCAGAAGGAUGUCUCUCUCUGCCCACCUUCCACCCUCUGAGGGCCCCAAAUUUUCCUUCCUACAAAGCAUUUAAACAGGUCCCUUAUCCCGUAAAUGUGUGCAGUGUCGCUUCAAUCGUGUCCGACUCUUUGCCACCCCCAUGGACUGUAACCUGCCAGGCUACUCUGUCCAUGGGAUUCUCCAGGCAAGAAUACUGGAGCAGGUUGCCAUGCCUUCCUCCAGGAGAUCUUCGCAACCCAGGAAUCGAACCCAUUAUCUCCAGCGUCUCCUGCAUUGCCCAUCUCUUUUUCCUUACCCCCAAGGAACCACCCCAAUCCCCAAUAAUAAAAAGGAAAUACUACAACCGAAAGGAAUCGUUUUAAUUCUUCAUGUCUGUCUGUGCACUAAGAGAAGACACCUAUCCCAAAUCCUCCGUAACUUUCCGCGCAUCCUUUCCUAGCUUCCGAAGCCCUUUGUCUAUUCUGUAGAAACCCUCCAAGAGAUCCAAUCACACCGUGGAAAAAAGAAAGAUCUAAUAGCCGAGAAUAACCCGGUUGAUUUAAGCUCCUCCCAGUACCGAAAGUGAUGUUACUCUCUUUUGCGGGGGAGGGGGAAUGGUUUUUAAGGCGCUGUCUCUGAGGGACAGAUGACUGGUAGAAUGGCCAGCUGUAGAUGAGACACUUGAGGCAGGGGAUGACCUUUUUUACCAUUAGUACAAGCUAGUCCUUCCUUCAGCGGCCCUCCCACACGCCAGCCAUGAGCCCCUACCCUCAGGGACCCAUCACUGGACAAAUCAGAUAAAGAUCCAGAGUCUCUCUAAUGAUCCUCCAAGACUGCAAAGAUGUGCUUCCAAACAGUACUUCUGGUCAAAGCCAAGUCCCUGGCCUUACAGCCUGAAUUCUGCUUUACUGGGAACACCUCCCACCCUCUUCCCCAGCCUAAGUCACAGGGGCCUGGCCAAACUGGACAAACAGUUGCCUAGGGCCGCAAGCUGUUUAGUGAUUGUUUAUUAUGGGAGGGACUGAGAGCUAGGGACAGACACAUCCCAGCUUCCCCCAAGGCUGCAAAAAAAAAAAAAAAAAACUCCAGCGGGUGUGGACAAAGGGCAUGGUUAUAAUGAGGCAGGAUGAAAUGAAUAAGUGGAAAAUUUUAGACAUUUGUUGUUUCAGAUUUGUUUUUAAUAAAGGGGUGAAGGGGCCUGAGUAGGAUGUUGCUGUACCUUUCUGAAGUCUUGCCCUAUCUCUGGCCUGCCAAAGAUGAGAUAGCUUUUCCAGAUUUGACGUGUACCCCCUGCACAAUCAGACAGGCCUGGGAGAGAAAUGAGGCUUCAGUCAUCUUCCAGAUACAAUGACAGUGAUGCAGAUAAAUGCAGUGAUUGAAACCACAUGUGACCCAGGGGCCCACCCCAGCCUGGGUUGCUGAGAGCACCCAUGCAAGGCAAGGGCCCUUCUGUUGAGAUUAGGCUGGAGAUUUUCUCAGCCCAAUGGAACUGAGGCUAUGGGGACUGCAGCUCCUCUACAUCCUGACAGUCAUCCUGUGUGACCGUAGUGGGAGCAAGUCACAGCCCUUGCUCUUUUGCAUCUCUUUCUGCUUUGACACAUUUUUCCCAUCUUGCCUAAGUAUUAUGGAUUCCUUCAUCCCACGCUCCAGGGUUAUCCAGCCCU
rnacentral:lncRNA from 1 species